CUGAUAAAGGAUGUAAAUGAAUGAGAGGGAAGCGUCUCGUGCACGCAGAGCUCGAACAAAAGCGACCGAACCUCAGAGGAGGAACGUUUAGAUUUCUCUACACGUUUGAGGGAUGCACACACUAUUAGACAGGCUGCUGCAGGGAUCUGUUCGAACUUUCCUCAAUCACUUUUAUUUGAGACUGGAGAUGUGAAGAUACGCAUUUGACAGCAAUCCAGAGGUCCUUGAGUCUCUGAGAAUGUACAAUCUACAAUGCUAUCAAAACAGGGAGAGAUGAGGAGGGUGUGCAAGAAAAGGAUUGUCUCAAGACUCUGAGAUGAAGUCAGAGAUGUCCAGCUCACUGAUAGCGAUCGCCAGGAGCACUCCAGCUCUAUUCCUCGUGUCUGUGGGCCGCUUUCUCUUCUGGAGGCCAGGAAGGGUUAGCUGUGCUGGGCUUUGAGAAUACCACACCGGCACCUCUGGAGCUCAGUACGAUAGAAAGAGAAAAGAGAAAGGAAAACUGAUGCUGGUCUAAUCUCGCCUGCAGCUGCAAGCUGAGAGACCGUCAGAGGAACGGUGCUUCACAAACUUAGAAGAAACAGACCCGCUGAUGAGGUGCGCUGUUGUUUUGGAGACCUGAUGAUGUCAUUUUUAAAGAUGUUCAGGAAGACCGAUUGAGUCAAAUCCUGCUGGCAGAACAUUUCAAUCCAGUUCUGAUGGGAAAAAACACACAAUUUAACAAGCAUGAGUUUUGUGGGACUAUUGGUCUGUUCACUGUUAGUACAAAACUAAAAACAUUCUGGAAUAUUUCCACAACCAUCUGCACAAACACAUGGAUGCUCUCUCACACAGGUGAGUUUGUACAAGGUAAGUGAAUCUAAAAAUGCACAUGACGUUAUUUUCUUUAAUAUGCUUUGAGUUGCAUUUCAGCAUGUGCAUUUCCAGAUAACAGCUGAAUGUGAUGCAUUAUUCUCUCUAGUUUUUUCAAGCACUCUGUGUGAAUUAUAAAACUCAGUAACACUUAACAUUAAACACAAAUGCUUUUUGAGUCAAUGAAUACUGUUAAUGAGCAAUUAAAUAUCAGUUAAGCUGUCAUUUAUCAUCUGAGUCUUUGUGUAUUUUGUGAAAUGAUUAUAAAUAA